GUGACCGGCUAGGAGAGGACAC
rnacentral:miRNA from 8 species